rnacentral:rRNA from 1 species
UUAAGCGACUAAGCGUACACGGUGGAUGCCCUGGCAGUCAGAGGCGAUGAAGGACGUGCUAAUCUGCGAAAAGCGCCGGCGAGGUGAUAUGAACCUUUGACCCGGCGAUGUCCGAAUGGGGAAACCCAGUGCAAUCCGUUGCACUAUCGUUAACUGAAUACAUAGGUUAACGAGGCGAACCGGGGGAACUGAAACAUCUAAGUACCCCGAGGAAAAGAAAUCAACCGAGAUUCCCCCAGUAGCGGCGAGCGAACGGGGAGCAGCCCGGAGUCUGAAUCAGCUUGUGUGUUAGUGGAACGGUCUGGAAAGUCCGACGGUACAGGGUGAUAGUCCCGUACACGAAAGCACACAUGCUGUGAACUCGAAGAGUAGGGCGGGACACGUGGUAUCCUGUCUGAAUAUGGGGGGACCAUCCUCCAAGGCUAAAUACUCCUGACUGACCGAUAGUGAACCAGUACCGUGAGGGAAAGGCGAAAAGAACCCCGGCGAGGGGAGUGAAAAAGAACCUGAAACCGUGUACGUACAAGCAGUGGGAGCCUCUUUAUGGGGUGACUGCGUACCUUUUGUAUAAUGGGUCAGCGACUUAUAUUCUGUAGCAAGGUUAACCGUAUAGGGGAGCCGAAGGGAAACCGAGUCUUAACUGGGCGUUAAGUUGCAGGGUAUAGACCCGAAACCCGGUGAUCUAGCCAUGGGCAGGUUGAAGGUUGGGUAACACUAACUGGAGGACCGAACCGACUAAUGUUGAAAAAUUAGCGGAUGACCUGUGGCUGGGGGUGAAAGGCCAAUCAAACCGGGAGAUAGCUGGUUCUCCCCGAAAGCUAUUUAGGUAGCGCCUCGUGAACUCAUCUUCGGGGGUAGAGCACUGUUUCGGCUAGGGGGGCCAUCCCGGCUUACCAACCCGAUGCAAACUACGAAUACCGAAGAAUGUUAUCACGGGAGACACACGGCGGGUGCUAACGUCCGUCGUGAAGAGGGAAACAACCCAGACCGCCAGCUAAGGUCCCAAAGUCAUGGUUAAGUGGGAAACGAUGUGGGAAGGCACAGACAGCCAGGAUGUUGGCUUAGAAGCAGCCAUCAUUUAAAGAAAGCGUAAUAGCUCACUGGUCGAGUCGGCCUGCGCGGAAGAUGUAACGGGGCUAAACCAUGCACCGAAGCUGCGGCAGCGACACUAUGUGUUGUUGGGUAGGGGAGCGUUCUGUAAGCCGUUGAAGGUGUCCUGUGAGGGGUGCUGGAGGUAUCAGAAGUGCGAAUGCUGACAUAAGUAACGAUAAAGCGGGUGAAAAGCCCGCUCGCCGGAAGACCAAGGGUUCCUGUCCAACGUUAAUCGGGGCAGGGUGAGUCGACCCCUAAGGCGAGGCCGAAAGGCGUAGUCGAUGGGAAACAGGUUAAUAUUCCUGUACUUGGUGUUACUGCGAAGGGGGGACGGAGAAGGCUAUGUCAGCCGGGCGACGGUUGUCCCGGUUUAAGCAUGUAGGCGGAGGUUCCAGGUAAAUCCGGUACCUUAUUAACGCUGAGGUGUGAUGACGAGGCACUACGGUGCUGAAGUGAUAAAUGCCCUGCUUCGGGAAAGCCUCUAAGCAUCAGGUAACACGAAAUCGUACCCCAAACCGACACAGGUGGUCAGGUAGAGAAUACCAAGGCGCUUGAGAGAACUCGGGUGAAGGAACUAGGCAAAAUGGUGCCGUAACUUCGGGAGAAGGCACGCUGAUGUGUAGGUGAAGUCCCUGCGGACGGAGCUGAAAUCAGUCGAAGAUACCAGCUGGCUGCAACUGUUUAUUAAAAACACAGCACUGUGCAAACACGAAAGUGGACGUAUACGGUGUGACGCCUGCCCGGUGCCGGAAGGUUAAUUGAUGGGGUUAGCGGCAACGCGAAGCUCUUGAUCGAAGCCCCGGUAAACGGCGGCCGUAACUAUAACGGUCCUAAGGUAGCGAAAUUCCUUGUCGGGUAAGUUCCGACCUGCACGAAUGGCGUAAUGAUGGCCAGGCUGUCUCCACCCGAGACUCAGUGAAAUUGAACUCGCUGUGAAGAUGCAGUGUACCCGCGGCAAGACGGAAAGACCCCGUGAACCUUUACUAUAGCUUGACACUGAACACUGGUCCUUGAUGUGUAGGAUAGGUGGGAGGCUUUGAAGCGUGGACGCCAGUCUGCGUGGAGCCAACCUUGAAAUACCACCCUUUAAUGGCUGGUGUUCUAACGUAGACCCGUGAUCCGGGUUGCGGACAGUGUCUGGUGGGUAGUUUGACUGGGGCGGUCUCCUCCCAAAGAGUAACGGAGGAGCACGAAGGUUGGCUAAUCCCUGGUCGGACAUCAGGAGGUUAGUGCAAUGGCAUAAGCCAGCUUGACUGCGAGCGUGACGGCGCGAGCAGGUGCGAAAGCAGGUCAUAGUGAUCCGGUGGUUCUGAAUGGAAGGGCCAUCGCUCAACGGAUAAAAGGUACUCCGGGGAUAACAGGCUGAUACCGCCCAAGAGUUCAUAUCGACGGCGGUGUUUGGCACCUCGAUGUCGGCUCAUCACAUCCUGGGGCUGAAGUAGGUCCCAAGGGUAUGGCUGUUCGCCAUUUAAAGUGGUACGCGAGCUGGGUUUAGAACGUCGUGAGACAGUUCGGUCCCUAUCUGCCGUGGGCGCUGGAGAAUUGAGGGGGGCUGCUCCUAGUACGAGAGGACCGGAGUGGACGCAUCACUGGUGUUCGGGUUGUCAUGCCAAUGGCACUGCCCGGUAGCUAAAUGCGGAAGAGAUAAGUGCUGAAAGCAUCUAAGCACGAAACUUGCCCCGAGAUGAGUUCUCCCUGAGACCUUGAGUCUCCUGAAGGAACGUUGAAGACGACGACGUUGAUAGGUCGGGUGUGUAAGCGCAGCGAUGCGUUGAGCUAACCGAUACUAAUGAACCGUGAGGCUUAACCU